UGGUGUGUGGGAAUCUAACUUGGCUCCUACAACCAGACUAGGCCAAAGCCCAAGUGCAAAGUGGUGUGACCUAUCAGAAAUUGGGGGUGCAUAAGCAAAAAUGUUUUUUUUUAUUAUUAUUAUUUUUUGUUGGGCCUGGCACCCAAGCCCAUAGCUCAUGACCUAGAAGCUCUAAUUGGGUUCGAAUUUCCUCCCCUCAUUCUUCACUCCAAGGCUCGAAGCAAAUCAGAGAAUCAGUCUCUCUCUCGCACUCGCUCACGGUUGGGGGUUUUGCCUCCCUAGAACGCCUCAUGCCGCCGCUCCGGCAGCCACUGCUUUUCUGUCGUGCCGUCAUGAGCCACCGUUAGACCCGACAACGUCGCGCCCCUAGCCACUCUCUCACCACCACCGAAGAGGUUACGCAGCCGCCAGUAUCACACGAAACCUCUUUCUUCCUCCUUGAAUUCGAACCCGCCGCUGCAGUCAGAGAAUCUGGGUGUUGUCGCCGUCUCCGUCUAACAGCCACCGCGUCGCUCACGCUUUCAGUCUCGUCGUCGCCGGCGACGGCAGAUGCCACCAGAAUCAAGGUCGGCGUCACCGCACCGCCACAUUCCUUCUCCUUUUCCGUCUCUCGCCUGAGAGGAAACCGCCUCCAUUCGCUUCCCAGGCAGUUACCGUUUCUCCUUCUGUUUCUCUCUACUUGCUUCUUGCCUAACGAUUCGGCUUUUGUGUUGGUUGGUAAACAGAGAUGAACAGGGGCAUGUUUUGGCUUUGAUUGUGUUGAGAACGAUAGUAUUAAGGGAAAUAUUCAUGGGAUGAAGGCUCUAAAGGUAAAUGGAGUGGUUCGAAUGAGUAGUGGAUGAAGGGGUGGUGGUGACCGCCGGUUGAGGUGAUGUGUGUGAGGUACAGGCGAGCGACAUAAAAAUUGCAGUGGCCGAGAGGAACAAGAUGAAGAUGGUGGUGAUUGUACCAUAAACAACUCAAAUGCAUUUGGGUUAAUUUUUCUUUGCAGAUGAGAGGGAUCAAGGUUUUGAAGAUAUGAUUCCCUUAGUGUUUUCUGAGUGUAUGGUGAAGAGAUGAAUAUGGCUAUUGGGUGCUGUGAAAAAUCAGAAAGCUCAUGCUCGGUAACUUUGAAGCAGAGAAAUAGAAAAGAAAACCUUAUGGUUUCGGGCAAGGCAUGCUCAAGGAAAGGAUGAAGAUAUAACCAUAAUAGAGAUAUAGAACAGCUAACGCGAUCAUAUUGAAUAAUGCUACUAAUACACAGACAUUGCAAUCACUCAAAAUCACACAGAUUAGUUACACUGGGAUAGAAACUCACCUCGGAGAAUUGAUGUUUUGCUUGUUUUUCUUGCUUCCUACGAUUGCUGAUUUGAAUGACUUCUUAUGUUCCUGAAGAUCAAAGGUGGCUACUGCCACCGUGGGUGAUUGAAGACGAAGGCACAGAUGAUGAUCGAAGGUGAUCUCCAGAGACGUCUCUGCCUUUUUUGACCUCUUUUUCUCAAAAACCCUUGACCCUCUUCUCUGCUUCCUCUUCCCUCGGUGCAGGUCCAACUUUCCAAAAUGAAGCUUGCUCUCAAGUCCUUGAUUCUUGAUGUCGUGAGUGAUGCCUUUCUACUUCGUUCUCUUUGUAAAUGAGUGAUGAUAAAAAAAGCAACCAUCUGUGCCCUCCCGUCUGCUUAGGUUGUUCUCCCCUUUUUUUCGUUAUUGCUUUUUUCCUGCAAAUUUCCCUUGCCAAUUGCCA